rnacentral:misc_RNA from 1 species
GCGACGAUUAGCUAUCUAGCUUAGCUACUCGAUCAUCAGAUCAUCGAUCAUCCGACGAUCAAAUCAGUAAUCUUGAAUAUGGCGGCUUUGAACGGUAAGGUGGUGGUGGCGGUGAUGGUGGUGGCGAUGGUGGUGGCGGCGCCGGGAGCGUCGGCGGCGAUCACGUGCGGUCAGGUGGGAUCGGCGAUCGCGCCGUGCAUCUCGUACGUGACGGGGAGGAGCGGCCUCACGCAGGGAUGCUGCAACGGAGUGAAGGGGCUGAACAACGCCGCCCGCACCACCGCCGACCGCCAGGCGGCCUGCCGCUGCCUCAAGAGCCUCGCCGGCAGCAUCAAGUCGCUCAACCUCGGCACCGUCGCCGGCGUCCCCGGCAAGUGCGGCGUCAACGUCGGCUUCCCCAUCAGCCUCUCCACCGACUGCAACAAGGUCAGUUAAAUCAAUCCUGCUUGGAUCGAUCGAUCGAGCUUAACAUGCUAGCUCAAUCGGAGUUGAUCAGCUAGUAAUUAAGCACGUACUUGCUACAGCAUAUAUGAACAAAGUAAUUAAAAUAACACCUGCGGCAGACAUGCAGCGCUCCAUUCUCUCUCUGUAUCAGCU